CACGCCCUAAACGAUGCCAACUAGGUGUUGGGAAGGAGACUUCCUUAGUGCCGUAGCUAACGCGUGAAGUUGGCCGCCUGGGGAGUACGUUCGCAAGAUUAAAACUCAAAGGAAUGGACGGGGACCCGCACAAGCGGUGGAUGAUGUGGAUUAAUUGGAUGCAACGCGAAAAACCUUACCUACCCUGGACAUGUCCGGAAUCCUGGAGAGAUCUGGGAGUGCUCGCAAGAGAACCGGAACACAGGUGCUGCAUGGCUGUCGUCAGCUCGUGUCGUGAGAUGUUGGGUUAAGUCCCGCAACGAGCGCAACCCUUGUCAUUAGUUGCCACCAUUCAGUUGGGCACUCUAAUGAGACUGCCGGUGACAAACCGGAGGAAGGUGGGGAUGACGUCAAGUCCUCAUGGCCCUUAUGGGUAGGGCUUCACACGUCAUACAAUGGUCGGUACAGAGGGUCGCCAACCCGCGAGGGGGAGCCAAUCCCACAAAGCCGAUCGUAGUCCGGAUUGGAGUCUGCAACUCGACUCCAUGAAGUCGGAAUCGCUAGUAAUCGUGGAUCAGCAUGUCACGGUGAAUACGUUCCCGGGUCUUGUACACACCGCCCGUCACACCAUGGGAGUGGGUUUCACCAGAAGUAGGUAGUCUAACCGCGCGUUUUACGUGUGGAGGGCGCUUACCACGGUGGGGUUCAUGACUGGGGUG
rnacentral:rRNA from 1 species